UUGCUAGAAGAUGACGAGCGGCGGACGGGUGAGUAAUGCUUGGGAAUAUGCCUUAGGGUGGGGGACAACAGUUGGAAACGACUGCUAAUACCGCAUAACGUCUACGGACCAAAGGGGGCUUCGGCUCUCGCCCUUAGAUUAGCCCAAGUGGGAUUAGCUAGUUGGUGAGGUAAUGGCUCACCAAGGCGACGAUCCCUAGCUGGUUUGAGAGGAUGAUCAGCCACACUGGAACUGAGACACGGUCCAGACUCCUACGGGAGGCAGCAGUGGGGAAUAUUGCACAAUGGGCGCAAGCCUGAUGCAGCCAUGCCGCGUGUGUGAAGAAGGCCUUAGGGUUGUAAAGCACUUUCAGUAAGGAGGAAAGGUUAGUAGUUAAUACCUGCUAGCUGUGACGUUACUUACAGAAGAAGCACCGGCUAACUCCGUGCCAGCAGCCGCGGUAAUACGGAGGGUGCGAGCGUUAAUCGGAAUUACUGGGCGUAAAGCGUACGCAGGCGGUUUGUUAAGCGAGAUGUGAAAGCCCCGGGCUCAACCUGGGAACUGCAUUUCGAACUGGC
rnacentral:rRNA from 1 species